ensembl:lncRNA
CUGCCGAUCUGCCUCGACAGUGAUCCGUGCGCGUGUGAAAGAACGCUAUUAAAAUGAUAAGAGAGAACUUCAAACCAGAUUAAACCGAGCUGCGCGCCGCUAAACGGGACGCCGUCGCCACCGACCGGAUACUUUCACGGAGUCGUUUGCGCGGCACUCUUCCUGUCUCCAUCUCUCUCUCUCUCUCUCUCUCUCUUUCUCUCGUCAUUAAUCUCGUGGCAGCGCUGCAGGAAACAGCCUUUCACAGGCAGCUGGAAUUUCAUCUCCUCCCUCGGUCUUUAUUACUCUUCCACUCAACCUAUCCCUCGUUCACCCCCCUCCUUCUCUCUCUCUCUCUCUCGCUCUAUCUCUCCCUCCGUUUAUUACGGCGCUCUAAUCACUCGCGCGCAGGUAACAGAACACUGCGCUGCACACAAUAGAGCCGGCCUUCAUAGCACCUCUACGCACACACAAACAGAAGCCAGGGCUCAUAAACUAACACGCACACACAUAAGCGCACAGCCUCUAAAUCGCACACGCCGUGGAUUCUUCUCUCAGAAGGGCAGGGCUUCAUGAUUUGGAUGUUUCCUGAGGAAGGAGCCACAUGUGCUGUUGAUUACAGCGCUGAAUGCUAGCGGCUGGUGCGUGUGUUUACAAUCAUUUUUUGUCUUUACAUCCGUUGGAUUUCUAGUAUGCAUUACCAGUACUUUGAAAUAUAAAAAAUAUGGACAAAUUUGCAUCGAUUUGCAGUGACAAAGCGAAAUUUUCAGUCAGAGCAGAUGUGAUACAGCAACUCCACAGGCCCAUUCACACCAGACGGUAACUUUAAUGUCGAAGCUUUAAAAAAAAAAAAAAAGAAACUCAAAAUGUAAUUCUAUAAGAGUGAAGUUCAUACUAGAACUAUAAGGUUAACGACAAAGAGGAACGAUAUUAUUGGAAUAGCUUUCAGAGCAAUUUUUUCCAGCUUUCAGAAUCCACCUGAUUCUAAAAGUUUCUAAAAGGAAUUGCAAGUUUAUAUCUCUUAAUUCUUUGUUUAUAUCUUGCAAUCGUUACGUUUACAACGUAAUACAAAGUCACAAUUAUUUUUUUUUUCUUCCACAUACUAAUAUAAUAUUUCUGUUGUUAGAAAGUGGCGUACAUGAUAUUUGCCUCUGUUUAGAUACUCUAAGAAGAUAUGGAUAGUGUAGUGCUAACUAGGCUAGCGACCGAC